rnacentral:rRNA from 1 species
UACGUAGGUGGCAAGCGUUGUCCGGAUUUAUUGGGCGUAAAGAGCGUGUAGGCGGCCAGACAGGUCCGUUGUGAAAACUCGAGGCUCAACCUCGAGACGCCGAUGGAAACCGUCUGGCUAGAGUCCGGAAGAGGAGAGUGGAAUUCCCGGUGUAGCGGUGAAAUGCGCAGAUAUCGGGAAGAACACCCGUGGCUAAGGCGGCUCUCUAGUACGGUACUGACGCUGAGACGCGAAAGCGUGGGGAGCGAACAGG